rnacentral:rRNA from 1 species
GACGAACGCUGGCGGCGUGCUUAACACAUGCAAGUCGAACGGAAAGGCCCUGCUUUUGUGGGGUGCUCGAGUGGCGAACGGGUGAGUAACACGUGAGUAACCUGCCCUUGACUUUGGGAUAACUUCAGGAAACUGGGGCUAAUACCGGAUAGGAGCUCCUGCUGCAUGGUGGGGGUUGGAAAGUUUCGGCGGUUGGGGAUGGACUCGCGGCUUAUCAGCUUGUUGGUGGGGUAGUGGCUUACCAAGGCUUUGACGGGUAGCCGGCCUGAGAGGGUGACCGGCCACAUUGGGACUGAGAUACGGCCCAGACUCCUACGGGAGGCAGCAGUGGGGAAUAUUGCGCAAUGGGCGGAAGCCUGAUGCAGCAACGCCGCGUGCGGGAUGACGGCCUUCGGGUUGUAAACCGCUUUCGCCUGUGACGAAGCGUGAGUGACGGUAAUGGGUAAAGAAGCACCGGCUAACUACGUGCCAGCAGCCGCGGUGAUACGUAGGGUGCGAGCGUUGUCCGGAUUUAUUGGGCGUAAAGGGCUCGUAGGUGGUUGAUCGCGUCGGAAGUGUAAUCUUGGGGCUUAACCCUGAGCGUGCUUUCGAUACGGGUUGACUUGAGGAAGGUAGGGGAGAAUGGAAUUCCUGGUGGAGCGGUGGAAUGCGCAGAUAUCAGGAGGAACACCAGUGGCGAAGGCGGUUCUCUGGGCCUUUCCUGACGCUGAGGAGCGAAAGCGUGGGGAGCGAACAGGCUUAGAUACCCUGGUAGUCCACGCUGUAAACGGUGGGUACUAGGUGUGGGGUCCAUUCCACGGGUUCCGUGCCGUAGCUAACGCUUUAAGUACCCCGCCUGGGGAGUACGGCCGCAAGGCUAAAACUCAAAGGAAUUGACGGGGCCCCGCACAAGCGGCGGAGCAUGCGGAUUAAUUCGAUGCAACGCGUAGAACCUUACCUGGGUUUGACAUGGAUCGGGAGUGCUCAGAGAUGGGUGUGCCUCUUUUGGGGUCGGUUCACAGGUGGUGCAUGGCUGUCGUCAGCUCGUGUCGUGAGAUGUUGGGUUAAGUCCCGCAACGAGCGCAACCCUUGUUCACUGUUGCCAGCACGUUAUGGUGGGGACUCAGUGGAGACCGCCGGGGUCAACUCGGAGGAAGGUGGGGAUGACGUCAAGUCAUCAUGCCCCUUAUGUCCAGGGCUUCACGCAUGCUACAAUGGCUGGUACAGAGAGUGGCGAGCCUGUGAGGGUGAGCGAAUCUCGGAAAGCCGGUCUCAGUUCGGAUUGGGGUCUGCAACUCGACCUCAUGAAGUCGGAGUCGCUAGUAAUCGCAGAUCAGCAACGCUGCGGUGAAUACGUUCCCGGGGCUUGUACACACCGCCCGUCAAGUCAUGAAAGUUGGUAACACCCGAAGCCGGUGGCCUAACCGUUGUGGGGGAGCCGUCGAAGGUG